rnacentral:misc_RNA from 1 species
AACAUCGCGCACCUGCGGGAACCUGCGGAGGGAUCAUUACCGAGUGUGAACCCCCCCGUAAAAAAGAGGGGUUACCUCCCGUCCUUUGCUGGGAACCCCUUUCCAACUUGGAAGGAGGUUGUUUUCAGACCCUUCUGCUUCGGUGGGGUAACCCACCGGAACAACCUCAAAAAUAUUCUCAAUUCAAAACCGUUCAGUCCGAGAACUUUUUUGAAAAGCGAAAAAACUUUUAGCAACGGA